CCUACGGGUGGCUGCAGUGGGGGAUAUUGCACAAUGGGGGGAACCCUGAUGCAGCGACGCCGCGUGGGUGAAGAAGUGUUUCGGCGUGUAAAGCUCUGUCAGCAGGGAAGAAAAUGACGGUACCUGACGAAGAAGCCCCGGCUAACUACGUGCCAGCAGCCGCGGUAAUACGUAGGGGGCAAGCGUUAUCCGGAUUUACUGGGUGUAAAGGGGGUGUAGCCGGGGGUGCAAGUCAGAUGUGAAAUCCGGGGGCCCAACCCCGGGACUGCCGUUGAAACUGCGUGUCUGGAGUGCAGGAGGGGCAGGCGGAAUUCCUAGUGUAGCGGUGAAAUGCGUAGAUAUCAGGAGGAACACCAGUGGCGAAGGCGGCCUGCUGGACUACAACUGACGUUGAGGCGCGAAAGCGUGGGGAGCAAACAGGAUUAGAUACCCGGGUAGUC
rnacentral:rRNA from 1 species